GCAAAGACUAUAUUACCCAGAAACAUGAGUGUAAUUGCCAUAUCCUUAGUUAGGCAUCGUUCGUUUUCAGCGGAUCAGCUCAUUCCGGGCCUUAUUCCAGGUGGAACCAAUGGACCUGGUUUGGAAUUUGGUACAGCCCAUUAAAAGUGUUCGUUUCGGCCCGAACUGGAAUCGAAACUGGCCCGGAUUAAAAUUUUCCUUCACGCCACGGCCUGGAACCAACCCUUGUGUCGUACCCUCCGGAUCGAAUCCUGGACGACGCGACCGGCACGGCGGCGGCGCACAGCCCCGACGACGACCCUCCCCGCUGCCUUCUCCCCGAUCUCUACGACACCAAUUAUAGAUGGGGAAGGUGAACCUCCUCCCUCUUGGGAUCCGGCACCAACUCCAAAAGUUCUACACUCAGAUGAGACAGGCGAGGUUAAGGUUCGACGACUCCUCGAGGGACAUGCCAAGAACUAUCAAGUUACAUUGUUGUUUAUUUUCCCUGUCUUAUUGGGAAGCAAAGUAUUGGAAAAAAACUGCAUUUAGUUGAUGAUCCACUAGAAGUUUAGGCUAUGUCCCACUCGAGUCUUUAUACUGUGGUGUUGUCUCUUGUUAUGCAAUGUUCCCUGCAUGAUUUUUGUUUUUGGCAUGUCUACAACUGGUUCAGCUGUUCGGCUGCUCAUUAUGGUUGCAGUCAACCAUAAGAUUGUUGUCUUAGCACCUUUGAUAUGUCGUAGCAAAAACUGCUAGUUCACUCUUUGAUAUGUCUAGAUUGAACCAGUCCACUCUUUAAUAUGUCUUAGCAUUGAACUUGUUUUAGAUUUAACAAAUAUUCUUGUCACGGUGCCAGCAGUAUAUUAAAUCCGCAUUGUGCAAUAUAUUGUCAAACAAGACUUGGGUUGCUAGCUUUAACUGCAUGGAAUGGAAUUAGUCCAGGCUGAAACAAACAGGCUUUAGUGGCCAUCAGGUUUUAUUCCAGAGCCGGAUCUAUAACAGACCAGGUUUCAGUGAACCAGCCGGAUCCACUCUAUUUGGACCAGGAAUAAAUACAUGCCUGUUUUCGAACCAAAGCAAACGAACGCGGCCUUAAGAGUAUAGCACCUAGUAGAAGAAUUUGAAGCGGAAGUGGAAGAGGAGCCUACUCCCACAUCUGAAACUUCACCAAUUGAAAUUGUCUCUGAAGGUCCUCCAGAAGGUGCCCUAGUAGGGUUUGCUGCUAACUGCAACAUCAUAGAAGAAGAGCCUGACUCUCCUCCUCAUCAAGGCAAGCCCCGGUGCAUUUGCCACUUCCUUGCUGUUUUAAAGCUUUUGUUACUUAUAUGCUGCAUUAGGUGGUAGGAGUUGGAUGAUUAAACCUUUGUUGCAUAACUUCCAUGAGCUAUUGAUUAUCAUCCUUGAUACCUGAUUUGAAAAGCUAGAUAUGCUUAGUAUGCUUAUAGACAAGGAACAAAAUGUUUUGAUAUAUGAAUCAUGUUUUUACAAAGAAAAAGUGACUAGAGUGAUGAAGGUAUCAAAGGCCUUGAUGACUUCAUCAUUUCAGUAGGGUACCUCUGACAGGUACCAAGUUUUCAGAAAUAUUUUAAUGUGAAACCAAAUGUUGAGCAGGAAAGGUCGCCUGUCUGUGUCGCUUAAGGAUCGUAUGAUUGUUGGCUUGCUGAUCUAGCACCCUUUAACUGGCCACAUGUCUCAUCAUGGGUAAGCUUAGCCUUGGCUGGACCAAUACCAGAAAGGUCGGCCUGCAAUGGGAGUGGAGAGAUGGCGAGAGUAUCGUGUAUCCACCUGACAAGAGGCUGGAUGGUGGGGUACUGAGCUCUCGGUUGGCGGGGACCCGUUCUGGUCUUGAAAAACCCGGGUGCAAUUUGACACAUGCAAGGGUUAAGGGCUACAUAUGUCGUGUGGUUGGAGAUCCCUAGUUGGGUAUUAAUCGAUUCGGAUCGCCGAACUUCUCGGAUAUCAAGACUGGAUCUUCGACCCUCAUCGUAGAUAACAAAUGAAACUAAAGCUGCUAAAAUGAAGAUAACAUAGGACAAGUGAAUGCUCUAGAUCAGGCAAAUCUAGACUUAGGAAAAGUACUUAAUUUGUGAAGUAAAAAUUUGGCAUAAGGAUCCACUACUAGUAAGCUUUUCCGCAAAACCGAUUCUUUGAAAUUUGGUAAGCUUUACCUUGAUUCCCAAUAAACCAACAUACCCUUGAGAGUCUUUUCUUUAGUCGGGUCAGUCUUGCUGAGUAAUUGCGUACUCAGGGUUUUAUUCCCAUUUGUUGCUGCAGGAGAGACUAUUAACACCUUUGAGUUUUACUAAAAUCACACUGGAGGCUUUUACCUUUGUUUAUGUUUAUUAUGUGUGUACUGUGGGAAGAUGGUUUCUUCCUAGGUGUUGUAAUAAGUUAGCACUUGAAUCUACCCCAGGCAUAUAAUAAUAAUACAUACUACGUGGUUUGUAUA